rnacentral:sRNA from 1 species
UCGGAGAGAUGGCGGACACGCAAGACC